rnacentral:rRNA from 1 species
AAGAACCUUACCUGGUCUUGACAUCCACAGAACUUGGCAGAGAUGCCUUGGUGCCUUCGGGAACUGUGAGACAGGUGCUGCAUGGCUGUCGUCAGCUCGUGUUGUGAAAUGUUGGGUUAAGUCCCGCAACGAGCGCAACCCUUAUCCUUUGUUGCCAGCGGUCCGGCCGGGAACUCAAAGGAGACUGCCAGUGAUAAACUGGAGGAAGGUGGGGAUGACGUCAAGUCAUCAUGGCCCUUACGACCAGGGCUACACACGUGCUACAAUGGCGCAUACAAAGAGAAGCGAACUCGCGAGAGCAAGCGGACCUCAUAAAGUGCGUCGUAGUCCGGAUUGGAGUCUGCAACUCGACUCCAUGAAGUCGGAAUCGCUAGUAAUCGUGAAUCAGAAUGUCACGGUGAAUACGUUCCCGGGCCUUGUACACACCGCCCGUCACACCAUGGGAGUGGGUUGCAAAAGAAGUAGGUAGCUUAA